rnacentral:rRNA from 1 species
UAAGGAAUAUUGGGCAAUGGACGCAAGUCUGACCCAGCCAUGCCGCGUGAAGGAUGAAUGUCCUAUGGAUUGUAAACUUCUUUUAUGCAGGAAAAACAUCCCGGUCGUGAACCGGGACUGAUGGUACUGUAUGAAUAAGCAUCGGCUAACUCCGUGCCAGCAGCCGCGGUAAUACGGAGGAUGCAAGCGUUAUCCGGAUUCAUUGGGUUUAAAGGGUGCGCAGGCGGAAUGAUAAGUCAGUGGUGAAAUCUCCCGGCUCAACCGGGAAACUGCCAUUGAUACUGUCGUUCUUGAGUACAGUUGAAGUGGGCGGAAUGUGUCAUGUAGCGGUGAAAUGCUUAGAUAUGACACAGAACACCGAUAGCGAAGGCAGCUCACUAAGCUGUAACUGACGCUCAUGCACGAAAGCGUGGGGAUCAAACAGG